rnacentral:lncRNA from 10 species
AGAUGCAAACCAAGGAGGCUGGAAGAUAAGAGCAGAGCCAUCAGGACACGAGCCCCUCGCGGGUAUGAAACAGGAGUCGUGGGAGCAAAUUAGUAGGUGCACUGCAUGGAGGGACGGAAGGGGCAGGGAGGAGCAUCUGAAUGUAAGAUUUCAGAGAAGCUCAUUUUGUCAGCAUUUCAGAGCUUCCUGUGUGCAGCAUGGAUCUAAAGCUGGUGGAUGCAGGGGGGUGAACAAGACAACAUCUUCACUUCCUGCAUGCUGAUGGCAGAAGUGAGACAUCAGCGAAGAAACAUCACGAUCACCAAAUUACGAUGAACACCAUGGAGGAAACAAAGGACACUGUGACACCAAGGAAGGAAGGGAGGUUACUUUUCAUAGUGGCUGUAAAUAGAACUGAAGGCUGAAAAACAGCUGUUAAAAUGGCUUGUUUGUUUGAAGAUGAAUGAGAGUACACAAUAAAAGGAAAAAAAUUUGGACACAGACACACACAGAGGGAUGACCACGUGGAGAUGCAGGGAGAGGAUAGCAGCUACAGGCCAGGGCGAGAGGCCUCAGAGGAAACCAGUCCUGCUGACUCUUUGAACUCGGACUUCCAGCCUCCAGAACUGAACCACUGUCUUCCUUUAUCCCAGGAUGUCUGCAAGGAAGAAAAUGUCCUUUUUCUAGCAUUUAGAGGCCACCAACAUUGAAUAACCACACUGGGGUAGACACAGCGGCGAAGAGAUUCCUGCUGUUCCCAUCACAGCAGCCUUGGAGAUGAGAAGACAGAUGGAUCUGACCAGAAGUCUGGAGAACUUCGAGAAAAAAGGAGGAGGACACAAAAGGAAAUAACAAAAAAGAUGCAUCCGGAGCAACUAUGAGGAUGGUAAAUUGGUGUCUAAUUCUGAAAAUCAUAAUUGGUAUAAAUGCUAUGUACUGUGGAAGGAGGGAUGAAGGGUAGAGGGAAUAAAAAAGAACAUGAAGUUAGAAUCCUUGGCAUGAAAGCCUGCCAUUUAUACAAGCAAACAAACAAGAUCAGGGACUAUCAACUGGCUGGCUGAAUUGGACCAAUAGGCAGGUUUAUUCAGCCCCACACUUCAAAAAUUAGGAGAUCUCCAAAUUAAAAUCUGGGAAUCUGACCUUUUGUAACAAAUCAGAGGAUUUGCAACACCAAGAGCAUCAUCACAGGCAACGACCAGCUUGGAUGGGCAGCGGCUGCCCCUGCAGGUGGGUCAGGUGCUCUUCCGUUGGACACAGUCUCCACCACUCCCUGUCGCUUGCUCCUUGCUCCCCAUCAGCAUAACUGUUUGGGCCUUAUAGCAUAUGCAUUUAUCACUCCCUACUAGGACGUCCACAACAUGAAAUGAGAGAACGAUUUGGUAAGUUCAACAAAAGGCAUAUUAUGCAGCCACCAUACAUUCUUUGUGGAAAGAGAAGUGGCAUAA